rnacentral:rRNA from 1 species
UACAGAGGGUGCAAGCGUUAUCCGGAUUCACUGGGCUUAAAGGGUGCGUAGGUGGGCUCGUAAGUCCGUGGUGAAAUCUCCAAGCUUAACUUGGAAACUGCCGUGGAUACUAUUAGUCUUGAAUAUUGUGGAGGUAAGUGGAAUAUGUCAUGUAGCGGUGAAAUGCUUAGAUAUGACAUAGAACACCGAUAGCGAAGGCAGCUUGCUACACAAUCAUUGACACUGAGGCACGAAAGCGUGGGGAGCAAACAGG